rnacentral:rRNA from 1 species
GUGGGGAAUCUUGCGCAAUGGGCGAAAGUCUGACGCAGCCAUGCCGCGUGAAUGAUGAAGGUCUUAGGAUUGUAAAAUUCUUUCACCGGGGACGAUAAUGACGGUACCCGGAGAAGAAGCCCCGGCUAACUUCGUGCCAGCAGCCGCGGUAAUACGAAGGGGGCUAGCGUUGCUCGGAAUUACUGGGCGUAAAGGGCGCGUAGGCGGACAGUUUAGUCAGAGGUGAAAGCCCAGGGCUCAACCUUGGAAUUGCCUUUGAUACUGGCUGUCUUGAGUACGGGAGAGGUGAGUGGAACUCCGAGUGUAGAGGUGAAAUUCGUAGAUAUUCGGAAGAACACCAGUGGCGAAGGCGACUCACUGGCCCGUUACUGACGCUGAGGCGCGAAAGCGUGGGGAGCAAACAGGAUUAGAUACCCGAGUAGUCC